rnacentral:rRNA from 1 species
GAAUGGCUCAUUAAAUCAGAAAUAAUUUAUUUGAUGAUCUUUUUACAUGGAUAACCGUGGGAAACUGGGGCUAAUACAUGCGUAAAGCCUAACGGCUGUAUUUAUUAGUUUCAAUCCAAUGUAACUUCUGUUAAAUUUGAGGAAUCAUAAUAACUAAUCGGAGCGAUGCAAGUCGCUACAUCAUUCAAGUUUCUGCCCUAUCAGCUUGUUGGUAGCGUAUUGGACUACCAAGGCUAUAACGGGUAACGGAGAAUUGGGGUUCGAUUCCGGAGAAGGAGCCUGAGAAACGGCUACUAUUUCUAAGGAAGGCAGCAGGCGCGUAAAUUACCCAAUCCUGACUCAGGGAGGUAGUUAAUGGAAAUAAUGAAUCCGUCUCAUUGAGAUUUGGACAAGUAAUGAGUUGAAUUUAGAUAAUUCUUCGAAUACUAUUGAAGGGCAAGUCUGGUGCCAGCAGCCGCGGUAAUUCCAGCUUCAAUAGCGUAUAUUAAAGUUGUUGCAGUUAAAAAGUUCGUAGUUGAAUGUCGGCAAUUUGCCUGUCAGAUCAUCAUGUCGCUAUACUUGUAUUGUGGCAUGAGUGACUGACUUUUACUGUGAAAAAAUUAAAGUGCUCAAAACAGGCGUUUGCUUGAAUAAUUUAGCAUGGAAUAAUAAAAUAAGACUUUCUUCAUUUUAUUG